UGCAGAGACUGAAAGUCUGAAACGUAGGAUUGAGCUAUCUUCCUUCACUUUUCCUUCCCAUUUGGGCUGCACUUACAGCUCGACAUUGAACCAAAUUAGUCUCAUCUCUCACUAGGAGUUUGGGCUGUGUCUUUACAAAGAGAGUUCCAUAAAAAUAAAAAUAAAAAAGGAGAAAAAUUAUCUAACACCGAUACUAUGGGAAACCAGUCCCGUUUGGAUCAAGGCAAGCUGCCUUGAAAAAGGCUAGCACACUCGGAUAAUUCAAAUUUCAACUCGGUUCAAGCUUUAGCAAGCUAUGCCGAAAUUAUCAUCUAUGUAGAGGAGGAAUUCCAUGCUAAACACUCUCCUUGCUUGUCGUUGGAGCAUCAUAUGGUGAUAGUCAGUGUUUGCUUCUUGGUUCCGGCUGAAAUAUCCACAUUUUGCCCUCGGAGCUGCGGCCUCUUCGCCUCCAAUCCUAUGCUUUGAUGACAUAACACUAGCAAAUUCCCACGGAGCUCUGGCCUCUUCAGCGCCAAUCCUGUGCUUUGAUGAUAUAACACCAGAAAAUGGCUAUGUUUCUAUUUUCACCAAAGAUUUCAGAGUAAAUAACAAAUUCUGAUGUUUUUUUUUCAGUUCUGUUUUGGUUCGAAGUUCAGAGUUUCAGCCAAUUUGAUUUCGGUUUGCAGGAAACCAGUGAGAGAUGCCAUGAUAAUAUAAAAAAUUCAUGGACUGUGAUUGACAAAAUUGCUUCCAAACCGAAUAGUAUUUCAAUCCUGGGCUAGAAAUUCAUGACUUGCACAUAAUGCUUCGGUUUUUGCAAUCGGGUUUUGAUUCCUAGAUUUGAAAAUUUAUGAUCCUGUGUGAUCUUUUACUCUUCUCUUAGGCCCUAGAAAAACUCUUCUGAGCUCAAAGACUACUUGCCCCAGACAGACAUAUAUGGCUUCUGCUUAAUAUGAUUCAUCACUGUAUCCAUGACAUUGAUGGAUCUUCCACAGGAUCAAAUCCGUGUUAUGUUAAUCAACGCACAGAAGAAACUGAAACAGAUAUAGAUGGAGUUGGCAGGUAAUUAGAUCAUGGAAGAACUGCGUUUUCCUUAUCU